rnacentral:rRNA from 1 species
AUUGAACGCUGGCGGCAGGCCUAACACAUGCAAGUCGAACGGUAGCACAGAGAGCUUGCUCUCGGGUGACGAGUGGCGGACGGGUGAGUAAUGUCUGGGAAACUGCCCGAUGGAGGGGGAUAACUACUGGAAACGGUAGCUAAUACCGCAUAACGUCGCAAGACCAAAGUGGGGGACCUUCGGGCCUCACACCAUCGGAUGUGCCCAGAUGGGAUUAGCUAGUAGGUGGGGGAAUGGUUCACCUAGGCGACGAUCCCUAGCUGGUCUGUGAGGAUGACCAGCCCCACUGGAAGUGAGACACGGUCCAGACGCCUACGGUGGGCAGCAGUGGGGAAUAUUGCACAAUGGGCGCAAGCCUGAUGCAGCCAUGCGGCGUGUAUGAAGAAGGCCUUCGGGUUGUAAAGUACUUUCAGCGGGGAGGAAGGCGGUGAAGUUAAUAGCUUCACCGAUUGACGUUACCCGCAGAAGAAGCACCGGCUAACUCCGUGCCAGCCGCCGCGGUAA